rnacentral:lncRNA from 1 species
GGAACAUUGAAGUUAAUAUAUCCGCAAUGCGGAAGGUUUUUGGGAUAAGUAUUUCCGCCAUUUUUGGCAUAAUUGUUUUUCUUCUGUUCACAGUGGUCGGACAAAGUGAUUCCUCGGCUCUUCUUCCACAGCAUAAUUUGAAAAUUGAGGGGAGGAUGCUCAAAUUCGGGAGGCCUACCACUACCACCCGUCGAACAACUACAACAAAACGUCGAGAGAGGUUAAUCUGAGGAGACAGAAGACAGUUGUCGGUGAAGCCAGGUACUUUCACGGAAUGCAGGAAAGUGUUGUGCUUGUUCUAAUCAAUUGUGGGUCGGAACAUGACAAUAAAUAUCAGAAGAAAUAAAAAGAAGAGAAGAAUGAAAAAAA